rnacentral:rRNA from 1 species
UGGGGAAUUUUGGACAAUGGGCGCAAGCCUGAUCCAGCAAUGCCGCGUGCAGGAUGAAGGCCUUCGGGUUGUAAACUGCUUUUGUACGGAGCGAAAAGGUCUGCCCUAAUACGGUAGGCUCAUGACGGUACCGUAAGAAUAAGCACCGGCUAACUACGUUCCAGCAGCCGCGGUAAUACGUAGGGUGCGAGCGUUAAUCGGAAUUACUGGGCGUAAGGCGUGCGCAGGCGGUUUUGUAAGUCUGAUGUGAAAUCCCCGGGCUCAACCUGGGAAUUGCAUUGGUGACUGCAAGGCUAGAGUCUGGCAGAGGGGGGUAGAAUGCCACGUGUAGCAGUGAAAUGCGUAGAUAUGCGGAGGAACACCGAUGGCGAAGGCAAUCCCCUGGACCUGUACUGACGCUCAUGCACGAAAGCGUGGGGAGCAAACA